rnacentral:lncRNA from 1 species
UGGGAAAUAUCGUGGGCCCCACAGUGAAGUCACAUCUGGUGGCUUUAAGAUACAUCUUGUGCCCAAUGGCAUUCAUCUCUGUCUACUUCCCCAGGUACCUAUGGCCGGCCUACUCCCACUUUCUUAUCAAAGCCAGUAUUCUCAAUUGAAAGCCUUAUUGGGGACGUGCUCUUCAGACCUGACAGCUCCCAAACAAAAGGAAAACGCAAAGAGAAGACUAAAGUCAUUGCUGAAUUAGUCUGCAUUGCAGACCCAAAUGUCCUCUCAGGCCCCCAGUCUGGACUGUGAGAGCCCUUCUACUGCUAUCACACCAUUCUGAGAUUUAGGAAACACCAUUUACAGGACCCACCUGGACACCUGGAUUAUUCUUCUGCUCCCACACCAUGCUACAGCACUGGAGUCUCAGAAGGAUGGGGUUCUGGUCCACGCUUUUACAAGUCCAGUCCAGACCUGCAAUGCUGCUGACCAGGCCACAUCACAGCCGUCUUCACGGAAGCCCAAAAGUUAGCCAAGCACAGCAGUGGUACCUUGCCUGGACUCCAUCCUUUGCUGUCUUCUGGGGGAAUCUGCUCCCUGUGGACAUUCUGCCCCAGGACCCAUGAACUGUUCAGAAGUGUUGGCCAGCACCAAGUGAGUGUGCAAGUGGGAUUUUAGGAGGAACAUGUUGAACUUCCUGCAUGUGGGGGUCUGGAGUGAGUGACUGAAA